rnacentral:misc_RNA from 1 species
CAUCCAAUUUGUCCAGUAUGUCAUGUUUAGUUGUAACGUUGUUAGUUCUACGGUCCUCAGCCGUUCCUUGUAUGAGGUUGACUUACUUCUGAAUGGGAGAUAGGGAAGUGUAGUUAUCAGCCCUCACCGUGUAAGCUUUGUUUUGUUAUCAGCAUUGUAUAUUAUGUGGCAUAGUCUGCAUCUGCCGUCAGUAGAGGUCCCUCUGACAAGCAAAGGUUGCGUCAUGUGGUGGUAAACUGGUGGGAAUUAAUGUGGCGCCACAGCCCAACCUAGCGUCAUCCUGGUGCAGCAAAAUUUGUUGGAGUGGUGGUUGAGGCUACGCUGUGACGGCCUACAGUGAGACCUUCCUCAUACACGCAUACAAGCUGCAGUAGUAUAGAGGUGUGGGUGUGUGCUGGUAUAAUCGUGAGGCGUGAGGGAAAUACCAGCUGGCGGUGGACAGUCCGUCUCCACCAGGUUGUGUAGAUCACGGGAAGAAGCGAGAGUCGGAAUCGAGUAGCAGCCUAGCAUGAUGGGUUCGCCAGGCGCACAAGCGACGGACAUAUUCUUCUCUGGUGUGUGCAACGGGCCAUUGUGGAAUGUGAGUGCCGCGUGGGAGAGUCGGGUGCCAGAGUUUGGGAGUUGUGUCGAACGCACAGUGCUGGUGUGGACUCCCUGCCUUCUGCUGUGGGUCAGCACCAUCCUAUACCUACCCUUCCUCAAAAGAAGACCUCUGGACCCUCUGCCAUGGACAGCUCUCAUCUACACCAAGUUGAUGGUGUCAGUGUUGAUGCUGGUGACAGCAGGAGUGGAAGUUGUCUGGGCAUGGGUGGAGGAGACCAUAGUCGUGCCCCCAGCAGACUAUCUGGCCUCUGUUGUUCUCCUUCUAACGCAGGUAAUUCAUCUAACACUUGUGUUAGUGGGGAGGAGGCGCAGUGAGCGGAAUAGCAUUGUUCUGUGGCUGUUUUGGUUAUUGAUGGUGCUGUGUGGACUACCCCAACUCUACACCACAAUUAGUUCCGUCUUGCAUGGGAACCGCAAAGUACCGGCCACAUUGAUAGUUACGUUCAUGGUUCAGUAUCUCAGCAGUAUGGUUCUUUUCAUCACCAACUGCAUUUGUGAUGCCCCAUCCAAACUUCAGAAGAUGGCCAUGACAGAGAAACCCAGUCCAGAGUUGAAUGCCUCAAUUGUAAGUCGGCUCUUCUUCUUUUGGUCUGGUCCCCUUAUUUGGGCUGGGUGGCAGCAACCACUCACCUUCCAGGACUUGUGGGAUGUGGUAUCUGAAAACUCUGCAAUACGCGUCUAUCGCUCUUGGCUGCACUCUACAGACAGAGGAGGAAGAGGCGAAGGAUCAUGCAACUCUUAUGAGAAGACAGAGCCCAAGAUGGACAUUACGAAUUACAUUGUAAAGAACAAGAGAAGUGUAACAAUAAUGGGGUCAUGCCAGGCCACACAGGUGUCAAUACUACGUGGGCUUUGGAAUAUGACCAAGUGGCCAUUGUUCCUGUCAAUGUUCCUCAAUAUAGUGUCGGUGGCAUUUAACUUUGUCACACCCCAGCUCCUUAGUCUCUUGAUUGGCUUCGUCACUGACCAGAAAGAGGCAGCAUGGCAUGGUUACUUGUAUGCAGUGGCACUCUUUUUCACCUGCGAGCUUGCAUCUCUCAUUAGGAACAUGUGUUUCAACAUUGCUACCAUUCUCACAGUCAGGGUUAGGUCAGCACUCAUGUGCACUGUCUACGUCAAGGCACUUAAGCUAUCUGGUUCAGCCCGAAGAGAGUCGACAGUGGGUCAGAUUGUAAACUUGAUGGCAGUGGAUGCCCAAACCAUCGGUGAUACAUGUCUUCAUCUCUCCAGCCUCUUUGGGGCACCUAUCUCCGUUCUUGUCUCCCUUGGAUUCCUCUGGUCCAAACUUGGUCCGUCAGUUCUAGCAGGUCUGGUCGUGCUGCUGCUUAUCAUCCCCAUUAACAGUGUGAUCGUCCAGAGGUCAAAGGAAUUGCAGGCAAAAGCUAUGACUUUCAAAGACAAGAGAGUCAAGAUGGCCAGUGAGAUCAUUAAUGGUAUCAAGGUACUGAAGCUGUAUGCGUGGGAGGCCUCAUUUGCUGAAAAGGCUGAGGAGGUGAGGAAUAAGGAGGUCUCGUUGCUUAAGAAGCUCGCUAUAUUGCAGACCUUCAACUCUUUCAUCUUCAGUGUCACCCCAUAUAUGGUAGCUCUUGCCACAUUCACCACGUAUCUGCUAGUGUCUGAUGACAAUGUGCUGGAUUCCCAGAAGGCCUUCGUCUCUAUUGCUCUCCUCAACCUGUUGCGUCUGCCCAUCAUACAGAUGCCCAAUGUAAUCUCCCAGCUCAUUCAGGCAGGUGUGUCCAAGACUAGGAUGCAGAAGUUCUUGAACAUGGGAGAGUUGGAUCCUGAAGCGGUUUGCUCUGAACCUUCAACCUGUGGCUUGGUGGUGGUGCGUGGUGGGCAGUUCAGCUGGGAAGGAGAGGAAGGGAAGGCCAACUGGUCUCUCCAACAGGUGGAGCUGGAGGUGAAGAAGGGGCAGUUGGUAGCAGUGGUGGGGCCUGUUGGAGCAGGCAAGAGCUCCCUCAUCUCUGCUCUGUUAGGUGAAAUGAGAAAGGAUGCUGGGAAAGUCAUCGUCAAUGGAAGUGUAGCAUAUGUGUCACAGCAAGCAUGGCUACAGAAUGCAACUCUGAGAGACAACAUCACCUGGGGUCAGCCCUUUGAACUGAAGCGAUACAAACAGGUGGUGAAGGCAUGUGCCCUGCAGGCCGAUAUUGAUAUGCUGCCAGCUGGAGACAUGACGGAGAUUGGAGAGAAGGGAAUCAAUGUUAGUGGUGGCCAGAAGCAGCGGGUGGCUUUAGCAAGGGCGGUGUAUAGUGAUGCCAGUAUCAUCCUCCUUGAUGACCCGCUCAGUGCUGUUGACUCUCAUGUGGGCAGGCACAUCUUCGACCAUGUCAUAGGUCCUCACGGGGUGCUGAAGCAUAAGACACGAGUAUUGGUGACACAUGCAUUGACCUUCCUGCCACAAGUAGACACAGUGUUGGUGAUGAGGGAUGGGCGGCUGGUGGAGAAAGGAGCCUACACUCAGUUAGUGGCCUCUGGUGGAGAAUUUGCUCAGUUCAUUCUCCAGCACUUCAGUUCCAUGGAUAAUGAGGAAGUGGAAGAGCUGGAGGAGCUGUGUGAUCAACUUGAAGAGGUUUCAGGAGGGAAGCAACUCAUCAAGCAGGUGUCCCUCAGGAGGAGCUCCUUAAACAUUACCAGGGAACUUGAAAAUGGACGAAGACAUCGGACUGUCAGUGAGACAGAUAAAAGCCAAAAAAUUGCCUCGAGUCCUACCACACACACAGAAAAUAGCUGCAACAUAUUUACCAAGCACAGCCAGAUAUGCAACAACCACAAUAACAUUGCUACUAAUAACAAUGACUUGCCAAUAUUUCUUCGUAACAUAUCGUGCUCAUCUCAGCAGUUUGACAAUGUUUCUAAUGACAGUAGCAUGACUUCGACAAUAAGCAGAUCAACAUCUUCAGUAGCUGUGGAUCUUCCGGCAUACAAUUUUGUUGAUUGUAACUCUUCUAUCAAAAGAGGCCAAAUUCUAGUUGAUGAAGAAACUGCUGAGACAGGCAAAAUCUCCAGACAAGUCUUCCUGGUAUAUGGCCGAGCUAUGGGUGCAUUCUGUAUAGUUAUACCCAUCAUCUUCAUGACUCUGGCACAGGCGAGCAAUGCAGGUGGCAGUGUGUGGUUGUCUCAGUGGACCAGCACUUCUAAAGCCAACACAACCAUCACCUCCAACACUACUGAAGAUAUUGCACAAUUUGAUCGAGACAUUUUCCUUGCUGGUUAUGGUGCAUUCGGCGUUGGUCAAGCCAUCUUCUUGUUUGUGGGUCUGUUGAUGGUGAUGCUGGGUGGACUGCGAGCAGCCAAUAUUCUCCACCACCAUUUGCUACGUAACAUCAUUCGUCUUCCCAUGAGCUUCUUCGACACCAACCCAAGUGGACGCAUAAUCAACCGCUUCAGCAAGGAGAUCAAUGUGCUAGAUUACAUCCUGCCACAAACACUACGGGGUUUGGCCUCCAUCCUGUCUACAGUGGUGAUGACGAUGAUAGUGAUUGUGGCAGCCACACCCAUUGUUUCCGUGUUUGUCGUACCCAUCAUGUGCGUGUACUGCUUCAUCCAGCAGGUGUUUGUGGCUACCUCUCGCCAAAUUAAAAGGAUAGAGUCCAACACUAGAUCCCCUAUCUUCUCUCAUUUUAGUGAAAGUAUACAAGGUGCAUCGGUAAUCCGAGCCUACAGGAAACAGGACGAGUUCUUCAAUGAGUCGUUACAACUGCUGGAGAACAGUUUGAAACCUAUUUACUCUAACAUUGCUACCUUCAGCCAUCAUGGGUGUCGCUGGACGAGACUCAAUCAGUCCUGGGAUUGUUGGUCUGUCUGUCACAUAUGCUCUUAAUAUCACACUGCAGCUUAACUGGUUGGUGCGUAUUAUGUCAGACUUUGAGUCUAACAUUGUGUCUGUGGAGAAGAUCAAUGAAUAUAUACAGCUACCUCAGGAGGCGCCUUGGCAGGUGGCAAAGGAUCAGACACAGACCGCAU